rnacentral:rRNA from 1 species
UACGUAGGGAGCAAGCGUUGUCCGGAAUCAUUGGGCGUAAAGCGCGCGUAGGUGGCCCUGUAAGUCCGUUGUGAAAAUCAAAGGCUCAACCUUUGAAAGCCGAUGGAUACUGCAGGGCUAGAGUACGGAAGAGGCGAGUGGAAUUCCUGGUGUAGCGGUGGAAUGCGCAGAUAUCAGGAGGAACACCAAUAGCGAAGGCAGCUCGCUGGGACGUUACUGACACUGAGACGCGAAAGCGUGGGGAGCAAACAGG